UUAAACUGGCCUGACAAAACCAACUUAUUGAUUUUUAUGUUUAGUUUGUUGUUGUUUUUAUUAUUAAACCAUAGCUUAAUAUAUAACUUUUAGUGUACGUUAACUUAUACGCAACAACGUCCGUCACGGAACGCCACAGUGUUGUACAGCCACAAUGUUGUACAGUUAACGUUAAACCUAACAUUAAUUGACUCAUAGACUUAGAAAUUUAGUUUCCAGCAUGUUCUUAUUCCCGUGCCCUUGUUCACUUGGGACGCGAGUGAGCACCUGGUAUGAUUUGACGCAUCACGCAUGUAUUUCAUGUGUCUGAAUUUAAGUUACACAUAAUAAAGCUCUUAACGUAAGUCAGGGGCGUGCCACUGGGCAAAGUGGGUCGGCUCGCUGUUAAACACAUAACAAGAAACGUAUAACAAUACUGUGUUUUUUUAUUACUCUGCCAAGUUGUUCAGAAGUUUUUGUUAACAGUAGUCGAACACGAAUUCACACAAUAGGUGUAUUCGCGCUGCGGAGACCGUCAGAUGUAUUAACUGUCUGUUACCUCAAAACUAAAAUCGAGUGUAGACUGCUCUGUAUGCUUUUUAAUUACUCUUGCAGUAUUUGAUGUCAUUCACAAGCAGUUCAAAAUGCAUUACUUUAUAAUACACAGACUUAGUGGGCGAUAAACCGAUAGAUAUGAUAAACCAGUAGAAAUUUGUCAACCGGUAGAGAUUUUGGACUAUCGGAAAAUUAAAUAAAUGUUUAAAGGCAUUGAUUUUAUUGUUGCUGUUAUAUCAUUGCUCAUGCUGACCACUCUUUCCUUUUUACAGAGAAUGAGGUUGAUGGUGAAACAAUAGAUUGUGGCCUUACAGAGAACAUGGUUUCAUACUUAUUUGAAAACUUCUUUAAAAAACAGGCUAAGUUUAACAAAUUUGCACGUGAGAUGAAGGAGGUGGUGACAAUAACUUAAGAACCAGUGCCGGCAGAGAACUAUCAAGAUACUUCAUCUACUGAAAUCACACUUGGCACCAAUCCCUCAAACGGAAAUUUAAAGCUGAACGUGCACCUCUGGUCCAUGAUGAGGUGAGAAAAAGUAAGGACAAGUUUGGGGUCCUUAAGACUGAGGCCCACUGAACAAUCUUCACCAGCGUGUCACAGAUCUACUUAUGGGGAGAUUGUUGUCAAUGGUGAGGAUGCAUCCUCUAUUCAGGGUCAGUUGUGUGAUGAAGUUGACAGAAUGCAUUCAGCUUAAGCCAGCGCUUCAGGGAGGGCUUUACCAGUCUUGUGCCAAAGGUGCUUCACUUCCCAAAAUCUACUAAGCAAGAGUUGAGAUGCUUGCAGAUCUACCAGAUGCUGACUUUCGUGCGACUCUCACAUCCUUAAAGAGAAAGCGGAGAGAUUCGUCACACUGGGAGAGUGUGAUGCUGAUACUCCAUACCGAACUAUACAGUUGGUUGAAACUGACUGGAAAACGGCUUUCUCCAAGAGGGUUCAAGUUCUUGUCAAAGUGGAUCAGGUGGAGGUGUGUCAGGGAAUGGGAGUUGAAGAAGGGAUACAGUAAUUGCAGCUUUCAGUGCUUACUAUGUUUUCAACUUGGCUUAUCCACCCUGCAUGAAGAAUACACUGACCUUCUUGCAGCAUGCCAUAGCCAAGAUCAUUAAGGUGGGUGGCAAGCCCCUUCCAACAACUGUCACCCGAAUGAUCAAUAUCCUGUGCUGAACAUGCCACAACAUUAUUCAUGCACAAGGUGCAGAAGAAAAAAAGAAGGCCUUGCCUUGCCUAGAUGGUAUUAAACAGACUAUUCACGGCGUAUAAUUACCAGUGGUGUAUGAUUCACACUUUCAUGCAUACACAAUCAAAGUUGACCCUGAGUGGAGUUUUAUAAAACCAGGGCAAGAGAUGGACUUCAGGCCCUUGACACAUACUCUCUUGAUGAUAAAAUGUUUGUGAUCCUCAAGAAUAUUUAAGAAGUUCAAAUAAAUUGUGUAGUACAUGUGUAGUUGUGUGAAAUGUGUGGCGGUGAUAAAUUGUUUUUUUUUUUUUUUAAUUUAAGAGUAUAAAGUUAAUGAAUUGUGUACUGUUGUGGAAAAAACAACUGCUUUGUGAUUUUAAGGAAAGAAAAUUUGAGACUUAGUACUGUUUUGAAGUACUGUUUACUUUUAUGUUAUGUUUUAUAUAAAAAUGACAUGUUGUACUUCUUUUGAAAAAAAAAAAGCUUUACAUGUGAUGCUUGCUGUUUAAAACUGUAUAUUUAAAAGUGUAUUAACUUUUGAUCCUGCUAUGAGACAUUUGUAAUACAGUGCUUAAUGUUCAUAUGAAAAAAUGUGAGGAUUUUAAAAAAAUAUUUAAUAAAUGUAAUGGA